GCGAGCCGGUGAUGAUUGAAGAACUAUAUAUGGUGAAUUCGAUGAAUGUGCUCGCGUGCCGCUGGGUGCGCAGCUGUGGUGAUAUGCAUCCUUGUUCAUCUGAGGCUCGC
rfam:Oryza brachyantha chromosome 10, whole genome shotgun sequence.